UUAUUAUUAUUAUUAUUAUUAUUAUUAUUAUUAUUAUUAUUAUUAUUAUUCUCAACCUUCCUAAUGCCACGACCUCUUAAUGUUAUGGUGACACCCAACAAUAACAUUAUGUUUGUUGCUACUUCAUAACCAUCAUUUUGCUAUUGUUAUGAAUUGUAAUGUACCGUAUAUACUCGAGUAUAAGCCGAGGCACCUAAUUUUACCACAAAAAACUGGGAAAACUUAUUGACUCGAGUAUAAGACGAGGGUGGGAAAUGCAGCAGCUACGGGUUCAUUUCAAAAAUAAAAUAGAUACUAAUAAAAUUGCAUUAUUUGAGCCAUCAGUAAGUUCAAUGUUUUUGAAUAUUUAUAUAAAAUUGUAAUUUAAGAUAAUAAGACUUAAUAAGAUAAGACUUAGGAGCCCUGGUAGCGAAGUGUGUUAAAGCACUGAGCUGCUGAACUUGCAUCAUCAUCAUCAUCAUCAUCAUUUAAUUACUUAUUAAUCACCCUCCAUCCAAGAUGCUCUAGGCGAUUUACAAGAUAAAACUUGCAGACCGAAAGGUCCCAGGUUCAAAUCCCGGGAGUGGAGUGAGCACCCGCUGUUAGCUCCAGCUUCUGCCAACCUAGCAGUUCGAAAACAUGCCAAUGUGAGUAGAUCAAUAGGUACCUCUCUGGCAGGAAGGUAACGGCACUCAAAUGCAGUCAUAGUCAGACAUGACUGGACUUAACAUCACGGGAAACCUUUACCUUUACUAAAAUAAGACUGUCCAACUCUGAAUACCUAUAUACUCAAGUAUAAGCUGACCUGAAUAGAAGCUGGUCAGGACCCUCACUCGAGUAUAAGCCGAGGGGAGCUUUUUCAGCCCUAAACAAGGGCUGAAAAAAUAGGCUUAUACUCGAGUAUAUACAGUAAAUAUCUGAUAUGCAGGAUGUAUUUUCAUUCACUGGACCAAAUUCGGCACAAAGACCCGAUACACCCAGAUCACUUUCCCCAAACUCUGCUUCCAAAUCUCAACUCACUUCUAAGGUCAGAAUCCCACAAUCAGAUGCUUCCACGAUCCCAUUGGCCUGGAUAUGAUUAUAUGAUUGAGAGUUGUAUUAACUCUUGUUUUAUUGUCUUUCUGUGUUUUAUUUUUAUUGUAUAUUGUUCAAUGUAUUUAUGCUGUUGUUUUUUGUAAAUUGUGCUAGUCGGGCCUUGCCCCAUGUGAGCCGCCCCGAGUCCCCGCGGGGAGAUGGUGGCGGGGUAUAAAUAAAGUUUUAUUAUUAUUAUUAUCAACACAACGACGUUGUAUGGCACAGCAAACAAGAUAGAUAUGCUGGAUUUCGUUUCGCAAAACCACAAGUCGAACACUUCCCAAGUGUCUAGGACUGUGUGAUGUAUUUUCUGAUGAUGUGUGCAGAUCCCAGUAGGGUGGCCUUUUGCAGUUGGCAGAUGGUGAUUUUGUCAAUGUCUAUUGUUUCCAAAUGCCGGCUGAGAUCUUUUGGCACAGCACCCAGUGUGCCCAUCACCACCGGGACCACCUGUACUGGUUUCUGCCAGAGUCUUUGAAGUUCAAUCUUGAGGUCCUGAUAGCGGCUGAGUUUUUCCUGUUGUUUUUCAUCUAUGCGACUGUCACCUGGGAUGGCAACAUCAAUGAUCCAAACCUUGUUCUUUUCCACAACUGUGAUGUCUGGUGUGUUGUGUUCCAGAACUUUGUCAGUCUGGAUUUGGAAGUCCCACAGUAUCUUUGCAUGUUCAUUUUCCAAUACUUUUGCAGGUUUGUGAUCCCACCAGUUCUUUGCUGCUGGGAGGUGGUAUUUGAGGCAUAAGUUCCAAUGAAUCAUUUGGGCCACAUAGUUGUGCCUCUGUUUGUAGUCUGUCUGUGCGAUUUUCUUACAGCAGCUGAGGAUAUGAUCAAUGGUUUCGUCGGUUUCCUUGCACAGUUAUUAUUAUUCACCCAACCUCUUGGAAGAUGCCAGGAAUUCCCCUUGGCUACCUCACUGGCCUUGAGAAAGGGAUGUCGGCAAGCCAAACCGGAGCCCGGAUCAGUGCCAGUUCCCAAGUUGCCCAUUCAAUGCAAGGCCAGUUGUGAUGGGAACAGGCUCGCAAGUGGCUUUGUCCCGCAUCCUUUAGACCAUCCCCGGAAUUUUCCCUCUUCUUCCCAAUUCCAGGCAGGUUGAAAGUGCCGCCAUGUUACCGCUAAUCAGGCAGAAAGUCCCUCACAAAGCGGAGACUGAGGCCUCUUUGUCCCAGAGCCUUCCAGGGAGGUGCGAGGAGGGGAGGAGGGGCGUUGGGGGGCCACUUGACAUGGAUCUGGAAUGCCAGGCACAAUGGGCCCGGACCGCUCUUAAUUGGGAUGGAGGCCGCAAUGGGCCCGGCCUGAAGAGCAGAACGUUCACAUCCGCUUGGGAGGUACUCGGACAAUGAUGGGAACUGGUCCGCCGUCCAAGAGAGGAGGCUUCGGCCGGAUGGGGGCGGACAACAAAAGGAGCCUGAACAGAAUACUAAUCAGAUCCUCUCCCAAGGAGAGCCCAGGCCACAAAGAAGAACCACGUUGUGCCCUAAAUCCCACUGAGGUCCCACGAAAGUUGACCGGUUGAAUCCAUGAACGGAUGGGGAGGAUAGGGAGGUGCAGUAUCCCCAAAAACCAUCCCAUUUAAGGCAAAAUUGGAGACUCCAAUGUAAUCAUAAGUGUACUAAAUGGUCAAGCAGUAAGAAAUAGAAAAAUGGACUGUUGGUUAAGUCCUACAUGGCUCAUACUCGCAGCAGAAUAAAACCCGAAUGCAGAGAAUCUUUGAUUUGAAACAGAACGGUUUGUAAGUAUAGACAUAAUAUCUUUUCAUUCUUUUAUUUUAUUAUUUAUUUUAUUAUUAUUUGCAGUAUUUAUAUUCCGCCCUUCUUUCUCACCCCAAAGGGGACUCAGGGCGGAUUACAAUGAACACAUAUAUGGCAAACAUUCAAUGCCAACAGACAAACAACAUACAUUAGACAGACUCAGAGGCAUUUUUAAUAUUUUUCCAGCUUCACGAUUCUGGCCACAGGGGGAGCUGUUGCUUCAACAUCCAGUAGUGGCUGUACUUCCUCAUUCCUUUCCUCGUGUUUUGCUGGCAGUUUUAUGGUGUUGUAAAUUAGCCUCCCACAUAAAGCGUCCCUAAAUUUCCCUAAUUGACAGGUGCAACUGUCUUUCGGAGCUGCACAGGUCAACAGCAAGCCAGGGCUAUUAAUGGUCGGAGGCUUAACCCGACCCGGGCUUCGAACUCAUGACCUCUCGGUCAGUAGUUAUUUAUAGCAGCUGGUUACUAGCCAGCUGCACCACAACCCAGCCCCAAUUUUUAUCCAUUCUGCGUUUAAUGUAUCAAGAGAACAAUUUGUAAGCCACUGUAUGUUCCCAAUAGGUUCCACAAUAUCUAUGAAAGACUGUACGGUUUAUUGAUAACAUGCUUGAAUUGUUUGAACUAAAUAACAAAUGUAAGUACAGUAGAGUCUCACUUAUCCAACACUCGCUUAUCCAACUUUCUGGAUUAUCCAACGCAUUUUUGUAGUAAAUGUUUUCAAUACAUUGUGAUAUUUUGGUGCUAAAUUCGUAAAUACAGUAAUUACAACAUAACAUUACUGCGUAUUGAACUACUUUUUCUGUCAAAUUUGUUGUAUAACAUGAUGUUUUGGUGCUUAAUUUGUAAAAUCAUAACCUAAUUUAAUGUUUAAUAGGCUUUUCCUUAAUCCCUCCUUAUUAUCCAACAUAUUCGCUUAUCCAACGUUCUGCCAGCCCAUUUAGCUUGGAUAAGUGAGACUCUACUGUAUAGACAUAAUAUCCUUUCAUUAUUUUAUUUUUAUCCAUUCUGUGUUUAAUGUAUCAAGAGAACAACUUGUAAGCCACUGUAUGUUCCCAAUAGGUUCCACAGUAUCUAUGAAAGACUGUACGGUUUAUUGAGUACAUGCUUGAAUUGUUUGAACUAAAUAACAAAUACUCUACCACCAGACGAAGACUAUAAGUAGUCGAAACCGGUUGUGGAUCAGGGGUCUACACUUCUUUGAUGAAGAAACAAGAAAAUAACCAAGAAAGUUGAUUACAUUGUGAAUGUAACUACCAUUCAUCAUACUGUGAAUGCAACAGUUUGAUUGGCUUUUGUAACCAUUUAUCUGAAAUUUAUAUUCGUUUAUUGUGUAUAAUGCAAUGUUUAGUGAUAUUUAAUACAUUGUUAUUAGAGUAUGUGACUUGCCCAGGGUCACCCAUUGAGUUUCCAUGUCUGAGUGGGGAUUUGAACCCUGGUAUCCAGAGCCGUAUCCCAAUGCUCCAACCACUACACCUCACAAGCUCAGAUCUAGGUUAUCAGUAGGCUGUUAGGAAUUGUGGGAGUUGAAGUCCAAACACCUAGACCAGGGGUCCUCAAACUUUUUAAGCAGAGGGCCGGUCCACGGUUGAGGGGCCAGACUAUAGUUUAAAAACAAAUAUGAACAAAUUCCUAUGCACACUGCAUAUGGCUUAUUUGUAGUGCAAAAAAAAAAAGGCCAACGAAAUGUUAUGAUUUGCAAAGGCACUGUGCUAUAUUUGUGUGUUAACUGGAAAAUGAAGUGCAUGAAGCCGAUUGGCUGAACCUGCAAAGACCUGUAAUUUGAUUCGAAACUGUUUCUGUUCUGCUGCUGGAGAACCGGUUUGAACAAAUUUCUGUUCAGUGUGAGUCUGUGUGAGUACUGCCUGGGGAAGAUGGCUCUGUACUCAGAGAGUCCUUGCUAUUUCUGAGGCCUUGUUUGCUACUGGGAAAAGAGGAUGAAGAACCAGGACUGUAUUCUUCACUGAAGCAGAUUUAUGGACUGAAAAAGGACUGUUUAUGACUGCUGGGUUUCUGUAAGCAAUCAGAGGGACCAUUGUGAAUACCAUUGUUCUUUGGAUCUCUUGGAAUUAGUAAAGUUAUUGUAUUGUUUGUUCUGCAAAUCUGAGCAUUGUUCUGCAGGGUGACUCUGGUCUUGGGCACAUGUAAGAGCUUCCGUUUACCAUCUACAAUGCGCAACACGAAAGAACAACACAAUAUUUCAAAAUAAGAACAAUUUUAACCCACAUAAACCUACCAGGAUUUCAAUGGGAAGUGUGGGCCUGCUUCUUGCUGAUGAGAUAGUCAAGUUAAUUAGGAUGGUUGUUGUGGUUGUUGUUGUUGUGCCUUCAAGUCAUUUCAGACCUAAGUCUAAAACCGAAGGUGGGGGCCAGAUAAAUGACCUUGGAGGGCCGCAUGUGGCCCCCGGGCCUUAGUUUGGGGACCCCUGGGCUAGAGGGUCGAAGUUUGCACAUGCCUAUUCUACGGAUAUCAAUUCGCUUUGGUUGCCUUGCUGCAGGUCAGAAACCAAUGUCCAUAAAAGCUCUAACUAAAAUAAAUAAGGGUUGUUGUAUGUUUUCCGGUCUUUAUGGCCAUGUUCCAGAAGUAUUCUCUCCUGACGUUUAGCCCACAUCUAUGGCAGGCAUCCUUAGAGGUUUGUGAGGUCUGUUGGAAACUGGGCAAGUGGGGUUUAUAUAUCUCUGGGGUGGGAGAAAGAACUCUUUGUCUGCUAGAGGCAAGUGUGAAUGCUGCAAUUAAUCACCUUGAUUAGCAUCGAAAAGCCUUGCAGCUUCAAGGUCUGGCUGAUUCCUGCCUGGGGGGAAAUCAAGGAACAUCUUGCUGCACAUUGAGCUCUAGUUGAGGUCUGCUGGAAACUAGGCAAGGAAGGUAUGGAGAAAUUAAGCAAGGAAGGUUUAUAUAUAUCUGUGGAAAGUCCAGAGAAUAAUUCUUUUUCAGUUGGAGGCCAAUGUGAAUGAAAAAAACUAUUAUAAUGGUAUAUUUAUAUUACAUGCAAUAUUACUAAUAAUAUUGCGAUAUAGUUGUAUAAUAUAAUAGAUUGUAUGUAUAUAUACUUGUAAACCGUCCUGAGUCCCCUUCUGGGUGAGAAGGGCGGUAUAUAAAUGUCGCAAAUAAAUAAAUAAAUAAAUAAAUAAAUAAAUGGAAAAGAAUUCUUUUCUCACCCUGGACUUUCCACAGAUAUAUAUAAACCUUCUUUGCUUUAGUUUCUCCAUAGCUCACAACCUCUGAGGAUGCCUGUCGUAGAUGUGGGUGAAAUGUCAGGAGAGAAUACUUUUGGAAUAUGGCCGGAAAACAUACAACAACCCUGUGAUCCUGGGCAUUGAAAGCCUUCGACAACACAUAAAAUAGAUCAGCCCAUUUUAAAGGUGCUGCUACUACGUUUCUCUCCCAUCCAUUCCCUACUUUUUCUAACCUGACUUUGUAAAUAGGAAUGAAACCCCAGAGGCUGGGCCUUUGAAACAUGGCAUGUAUACAGGCGGUCACAGUGAUCCCUUAAUCUCCUCUCUCCGUUCUUCCAAGGGCUUGCUGUAAUUUAGUGAUCAGCCUUAAGUGGCAUUUUUCUUCUGGGAAUCCAGCCUGUCUGCUCCAUCCUCCCACAGCCUCCAGAGUAAAUGCUGGAUAAGAGGCCGAGGCAUUAUCGCAGCCCUCCCGGCCCUUCUCCAUCAGGCCACAUGGACGGGGCACCGAGACAUCUGCUCAGUAAGAGGUUUACAGGGUUCCCAGGCUUGGCGAGAAGCAGGUUCGGGGAGGGGGCUGAACAGCUUUGAAUCCUUCAAGCCAGAUGCUAAAGGGACGGAGGGGAGGUUAUGGAGGCGCAUGGGAACCUUGUCCAGCUGCAUGUCCAGCCCUUUCCCUGUCCUCCCCAAUUGCACUCUAAUGGGGCGAAAAGAGGAUAGGCCUUAAUUGGUUUGCCUCAAUGUUUAAUGACAGGCUGACAAGGGCUGGGAAGACUCAGCGCAUGGUGAUGCAUUCGGUUGACCAGUUCAGCAUCAUCCCUUUGUGAUGUCACUAAGCAAGGUGCCUUUGUUAAUGUGGGAUUUGUGUAUUGGUAGUGUUUAAAUGCAAUUUGUGCCAUGCUUGUAUGGCAACUGAUUGCAUCACCCAGAAUGUACCAUAAUGUGGAAAGAGUUAAUUGCCAAGAAGCUAUGAUGACCUUGAUGUGUGGCUGGAACUAGGGAGUAUCCAGACACAAGUGUUUGUGCAUAACGAUUGCGUCAGUUCAGUUGAGUUCUGUCUGCCUAGAGUUCAAGUCAAGUUCUGUUGGAGAACAGAGCAGUCCUGUGUUCAUCUGUCAUCUGCAGGUCUGUUUGUGUUGAUUAUUGCUGCAUACAGUAAAACUUUGUAAAUAGUUUUA